rnacentral:rRNA from 1 species
UACGUAGGGGGCUAGCGUUGUCCGGAUUUAUUGGGCGUAAAGAGCGUGUAGGCGGCCUGACAGGUCUGCUGUGAAAACUCGAGGCUCAACCUCGAGAUGUCGGCGGAAACCGUCUGGCUAGAGUCCGGAAGAGGAGAGUGGAAUUCCUGGUGUAGCGGUGAAAUGCGCAGAUAUCAGGAAGAACACCGGUGGCGAAGGCGGGUCUCUGGGCCGAUACUGACGCUGAGGAGCGAAAGCGUGGGGAGCGAACAGG